UGCAGGCUUUCCACUCAUCACUGACCUGCAAGAACAUAUGUGUAUUUCUCCACCAAUACUAAAACAAUGAAUUGUCCACUGUCCAAAACUUUCUUAACUUGUUAAUGACAGUCUUAAUAGUCAUCGUUGACGGUGAUGCUUUAUACAGUUACAUGGGAUCUCUGUGAAGCAACUGUCUGUGUAAUCGAAAUUCCUUGACCACAGGUAGCAGAUGUUAUACAUUCACUGCAACAACCUGCUGGGAGAAAGCUGGAAGGUGGAGGUGUUGCCUGUGGAGGUCUUCGUGAACUAAUAUACCAUGCAUUGCAAGGACAUCUGUCGCAGUUGGUGUGGAUGGAAUCUUCAUGGAGCCUCUGCGCGGUUUGGAGGAGCUACGAGAAGAGUUCAUAGCUAUAGCUAGGGUCAGUAAAGGGAAAAAAACCAUUCAAAAUCGAUCUCACACCAUUUGAUCAUGGGGAUUCUUGAAACUAUUCUUUGGUGAGUAGGCAUGAAUUGCAUACUUCUAUCUAGAAAGCUGCAUCUCAUUUUACCAGUUCAAAGGAAUUCUCGUUGCGUUUACUGUAUGUUUGCCAAAUGCAAAUUGUUGGUUCAUAUUUAUGUGAUGUCACUUCUGAUUUGAGCCAUUUGAAACACUGCAUAUCUCAUAACUGUUUGUAUUUAUGUACAAGAACGUGUCUUGUUUCGAAAGACCAUGAAAGCUGAUGCUAGAAUAAUUCAUA